CAUCUGGUGGCUUAAGUGGUUAAAGCGUCGGCCUCUGAUGCAGGAUAUCGCGGGUUUGAACCCCGGCCAAAUCA